UGUGGCCGACAUCGGCCCCAUAGCGGAACGUUGGGCUCAUAUCUAUAACAUCUAAUAAGGAUCGGCCAGGCAUAGGCGCGUCUCUUCAGUCAGUGCUCUAUUUCCAGCUCGUCGGCUUUGGGUCGGAUCACGACUGCAGGCCGAUGCCGCGCUUAUCUGUUUGCGCGUGACCAUUCAUCUCUGCAACCGACGAGAGAAAUGGCGACUCCGGCGACAUCUGUGGUUUUCAGGAGUGAACAAAUCUACAACACCGGAAAGGGGAAGAGCUGCUGACAGGAGUAACUUUUACUUUAGGAAACUCAGAUGAGAUGUGAUCCCCAGCGUUUGGCGCUGAGAUUCUUCAGGACAAAGGCCUUGAUGCCAUGAAGAUGCCCAUAACUGACAGGCUUUCCUGUGUAAACCAUCAUAUUUAUCCAAAUGAGGGUCUCUGGGAUCCCCAGCUGAAGGCAUGAAGACAUCAGAUCUUGGCCUGGACAGAUGUAUCAACAGUACACCACACCGACCUCUGCUUUUGCAUGGAUGGCUGAUUACUACCAUGUUCUGAGAGGGUAUUACUAUAGCAAAACUGAGCACCUGUGACACUGGGAUUUCUAGUUGUAAAGAAUAAUCACACAAUGUUUUUUAGAAGUUGCAAACUUUUCUCUCUCUUUCUCUCUUACAAACAACACAACAGUUAAACCUUUUCAAAUUCUUUUCUGGUGGUGCACAAGUCCUAUUCUUCGAAACAGAAAUUAAGAUAUUCAUAUGCUCACAUUUAAGCUGCGGACACACUACUUUGAGCAUGCAAAAUUUCUUCAGACACUGUAACUGGCGUGAUAUGACGUCUGCAGAGUCUUUUUAUAAACAUGAAUUCAACAUUUAACAAAUAGUAUAUUCAAAAUAUAAAAAUAUACAGUCUACUCGACUUUACUAAAUUUUAUUUUUUAAUUUAGCCAGGAGGUCACACCUACAUGUAGCGAUUUUGUACUCUUUACACAUAGUCGUGUGAUGUGAAUUCGCAGGUCAGAGUUCCAAACCAAACUUUUUGCAUGAGCUUGCGUGUCUGGUCUCCUGCAUUUGUGUGCAUAUGAAUGGAGGUCAAUGGAAUGAAAAGCGUAGUGUGACCGCACCUUUAUUCUAAAGUUGCGGCACACCUGUAUCAAAAGUGUGAAGUCGUUGACAAAUUUUAUUUGUGAACUGAUAUGCGAGAUCUCACAUAUGACACAUCAGUAUGUGACAUCCCACUCAAACACGUGCUCUAUCCAGUGAUAAACAUACUCUUGUCGUUAUUAAUCAAUCAGUAAUCAACACAGCACCACCCUGAAAUUGCCUUGCACUGUAGAAUUAUGGUUUUGGCAAGAAAUGAAAAAUAGCCAAUUAUUUAUUAUAAAUGCUACUAUUUUACAAUUAAUAUUUAAGACUAUGUUAGAGAGGGAUAGAAGCCAUUUUUAUGGAUGAUAGGAUUUUUUCAUUACAGGUCAUUUAUUUGAAUGAUCAGCAAAAAUUUGAGCCUAUGAGUUUAAUAAUUUGAAUUCGUAGAAUAAGAUUAGUACAAAUUUAACUGUUGUGUUUGUGAGAGAGAAAAGAAAACUACAAGUUUGCAAAUCCUAAUACAUUUUCUCAGUGACUACUGAAAUAUUCUCUACAAAUUCCACUGUCACAGGUGCUCAGUUUUGCUACAAUAAUACUAUAUAUUAUACAGCACAUGCAUAAUUUGAGACAAUAUUCUGAUUCUCAUUUUACCAAUGACAAACCACGUCUAUCUUAUUAACAACUAUUCAUUUUGUGUAUAAUCAAUAUCUAAACAAGUGAUAUUUAGUUGUUAAUGAGGGAUUGGCUGGACUCUGCUGAUAGGGUUCAAAAGUUAUUAACAUAAACAUGAGUGCAACUUUGGACAGCUGGUGGCGCUAGAGGGAUUGAGAUAGAGACUCCAAAUUUGCUAUGGACAUAGAUCAGACUGUCCCUAACUGUGUACCAAAUUUCACAACUUUUUACCAUACGGUUCUAUGGGCUGCCAUAGACUUCCAGAGCGGAAGAAGAAGAAGAAUAAUAGUUAAAAAAAAAAAGAACGCCAACAGGUACAAUAAUAAUAAUAAGAAAACUAACGAUUACAAUAGGUGCCUCCACACCUUCGGUGCUUGGCCCCUAAAAAUAUAUGCGGGGCCAAGCACCAAAGGCAUUGAAAAUAAGAAAUAAUAAUGAGAAAAAUGAAAUAAGAAAUAAUGAGCAAACUGUUUGGGUUGUAGCACAGUGAGGAGCAAGAAGAGCAAAAACAGCAGGAAUUGAAUGUACAUGAAAAAAGGUGGUUUAGAAGUAGAGGUGAGAAUGAACUCAAAAUGAACAGAAUAAGAAAUAAUAAGAAAAAUGUCUGGGUUGUAGCGCAAUGUGGAGCAGGAAGGGAAAAAAAGACCAGAAGCUGAGAUGAAAAUGAACACAGAAUGAACAAAAAUAGAUUUAAUUCUAAUCAGAAGAAGAAAGACUAGUGCAGUACUUAUUGGGAUAAUAAAGGAAUUGAAAUGACAUUACAAACAAUUUAAAAGUUGCCCUACACGGGACUUGAACACACAGUCUAUGGAUCUGGUGACUGACACUCAACUCAUUGCUCCACUGUGCAGACCCUUACACACACCUGCCAAACAUCAUUAGUUCAUGUGAGAAUGAUCUCACAAUGAAGAUGUUUUUAAUAAGAAUGCACCACGUUAUAUUUAUUAAUUUUAGUUUAGAUCAUUCUAGGAAACACUCGAUAUCUGGAACAGAAUUUUUUUUUUACAAAACAACCAAUUAGAAUGCUAAGCUAACUAGCAUAAGACAACAAACAGAGGCAAGGUCACAUUCAGAGACAAAUAUCUCAGGAAUGGUAGUGAAUAUCAAAAAAGUCAUUUCUGUGCGGCUCAGUCCAAAGAUCAUCUGAGCCGAUUUUGGACAAAAUUGGACAAAAUUUGUGGGAGGAGUAGCGAAAAAACUGUUUUUCAUUUAUUUCAAUAUGGCAGACAGGUACAUUUAAGGAAAAUGACAAAUGACACAUCGUUGGAAUAGGUAUAAGCCAGGGAAUAAAAUGACAUAAAGCAUAAACAUUUUGGAAAAUGUUUUCAAAAGUUAUAAGCGUUUUUGCAAAAAUCAUUAUACCUGUGGAACACUAGGUGGCGCUGUGUUGAAACUUCUUAGGUACCUUCAGGACAUUCUGAUGAUGAUAUGUACCAAUUCUUGUGAAGAUAUGUCAAAUAGUUUAAAAGUUAUUGCAAUUUAUGACAAAAUUCAAAAUGGCGGACACUUGUUUCAUCCAAUGUUGACAACUUAUCCGCUGAUUCGGCAUGACCCAAGGAAUCCAUAGACAUCAAGAUCAUGAUUUUCUGACAAACUGUUCAAAAGUUAUUGGCCAAAAUAGCAAUUUUCCAGAUCUCAUGAACUGUAGGUGUCAAGGGCUAAACAAAAAGACUACCUUGGUUUCAAAUGCUGUAACUUUUGAUUACUUUAUGCUAUUACCACAAAAUUAUUCCAGAUGCAGCUCACAUGUAUGAGAACUUAACAAAAAAAGAAUUGUCCUCCUACCUUAUUUCCUUCCUGAGUUCCUGCAUGUCUAUGGAAGCCCAUUUCCGACACAUAAGAAAAAAUAACUUUAAAAGUCAUAAUUAUGAGAUAAAAAGUCGAAAUUAUGACAUAACUAAAUCGAAAUGAUCAAAAACAAGCUUUGCCGCAGAUAGAACAAAAUAGAUGUGGCUUUUAACCUAUGCUCUGUCGGUACAUACAGUUACCUGAGGGUGGUGCUGUUCUUGGUAUUAUAUAUAUAUAUUUUUUUUUUAUUAUUGAACAACUUCAAUAUACAAAUUCAAGCAGGGAACAGCAACAUGCAUAUGAAAAUAUACACAAAUGACAAGUAAUUAAAUCUCCAUUUGUAUAUCUGCAUAUAGACCUAUGCUUAGAUAGGUUCAUGUGUACAAAAUAAACAACAGCAUGUUAGUACAAUAAACAAAAGCACAAUCUUCAAUCCUUUAAGGGGGGUUACAAGGAAAUUAAAUGAAAUUAUAUAAAAAUAAAUAAAAAAUGAAGCAUCUACAAAAUCUUAAAAGGAAAGAGACUCAUGCAGUUUCUUGGAUUUAGGCAGCAAGGUUAUUAAUCCUAUUCUCAUUGUAGGUGAUACACUCUCUUUCUGAAUACAUUCUAAAAAUGUAAUCAUUAAAUAAUAAUUUCCUUAUAUCCUUCCAAAUUUUUUUUUAAAAUUCUGUUGACAAACCAUCGAUACCUGGUGAUUUGCUGUUUUUCAUUUGUUUUAAUGCCACAUCCAUUUCCGCUAAAGUCAACUCAUCGUCAAUUAAAAUUUUGUCUUCUUCGUUUAAUUUUUUGAUAUUACCUCUAAUAUUUUCAAAUAAAGAAUCACAAUCCACCUUUUUGUAUUUAGAUUUGUAAAUGUUACGAUAGAAAAGCCAAAUUUCAUUCUGAAAUUCCGGGUUAACGGGGGACCCACUGUAUAGAGCAAUACUCUAAUAGAAUUAGUGGGCUAAAGUCAGUCACCUCGACUUUCUUCCAAAUAACGCACAUUCGAUUCAUUGAAUGAUCACUGGCCUGGGUAACUUGUUAGUAGCGGCGUUGUUCCUCUUUCCCAAAUGAUGCACUGUAUCCACCGACCCCCGGAGUUUCUCCACUGACAACGGAAUCACCCGGGUAAGGAUUCCAAUCACUACUUCUCUUGUGUCUUCUUUUUCUUUUUCUGGGAGGCCGAUUAGUCUGAGAUCCCAUCUUCUCUUGUAUCUGGCUUGCUCCAAACACUGUUGUUUUAGUGAGACGUUCUCCUUCCUCAAAUCCAUUAUUUCCUCUUUCAUUCUUGCAAUGUCUUCUUUGUUCUCUUUGUAAUUGCGUGUGCAUUUUCCUCCAUUCUUUUUUCGAUAAUUUUCAGUCUCUGAUCCUGCUCAUAAAAUCUCUUAAUUAGAGUUUGAAUUGCGUCAAAGAUCACUUCGUUUGUGAUUUCAUCAGCUUGUUUACUUUUGACUUUCUCCUGUAUUCUUACUUUGUUGGGGUUCGGACUGGGCACAGGUGUGUGUUCAUGUCUUACUUUGGCAGUUUCUUCCAUCAUCGCUUCAACUACUUCUUCGUCACAUGCCUCCAUGAGAGCGCUCAUGUUAUAUUCAUGGUCGGCUUGUCCGGUAUCGGCUUGAUUUGCCAUCUCGUAUAAAUUUAAAGAAAUGGAGGGACUCUUUAUAGGUAGUACACCAAAACCAAAAUUCAGAUAAUGAUGGAUGUAAUUUCUACACUUCUGGUAGGUUUCUUUGCCAGAGGUAUCAAUUUUAGGACAUUAUUAAACUAAUUUAUCAGAGCCUGCAUAAAUUCUUCUGCUCACUCCGCCAUCUUGGAUUUCCCCCGCUCCUGGGGAUUAUAUUUCCAUAAUAACACAUCACAAUAUGGUGUAAUGCAAGAUUUCAUUUGAUAAUUAAUUUUCUUGCCCUCCAUGUGCUCGGUGUUGAUAAUAUUUGAAAUAAUAAAUUAAUUGAUCUAUAUCUUUAAUCUGUUAUAAAUUCUAAUAAAUUAAGAGGCUAGCCAUUGCCUACCAUUAAAUCUCAGAUGCAAACAUUAUCUGUCAUCUUUCUCCGUGCUUUUAAAUAGAUAUAGAGUAAGUAAGGCAUGAACAGUUAAAUGCUUCCACUGGGCAAUGAUAAAUUUGUGCAAUACCACUUAGCUAUAUUUAUUUGACAAUAACCUUAUACUUCUUACUCCAUUCCGUUAUUCUGUUCUAUUCUGUAUAUAGCACACCUACAAAUUUGUCUAUUUUUGUUUAUUUAUAUAUUAUAUAUACACAUGUGUUUCUUAUUCAUUUAUCUUUAUUCUUUAUUUUUUUAUUUUACUAUCUGUAUACUGCUGUUGUCUCUGUGUACUGGAAGCUUCUUCUGUCACCAAAACAAAUUCCUUGUGUGUGCAAACAUACUUGUUAAUAAAGCUCUUUUUGAUUCUUUCUGAUUCUGAUUAAAUAAAAGAGGUACUCUGGUUGAAUUUGUCAUGUGCACCAUUAAUUGAAACAUACAAGAUCAUUUUCACAGGAGUAGGCUAUAUUUACUAUGUAAUGAAAACUGCUGCCUGAUCACAACUUCCUGUUGCAAGUUCAACUGUUCCGCAGCAGAACUCGCACUAUCAGUUAACCUAUUUUUGUAACCUAUCAGUUACAAUACCAUUCAACCAAUAUUUUUGGUGCAUCCAGUAAACCAUGACAUUGAUCCGAGGUUUGAAGUUGUUCAAUGAAAACUGCCACCUCAUGCAGCCACAACUAUUUUGUUCUUUCUGCACCAAAGCUUGUUCUUGCUUAAAAUCUGAAAAGAGUGUGUUUGAUCAGAGCUAUUCAAUAUUGUUCUGCUAAAUUUCAUCAUUAGUUAAACCACGUUUAAAAUACACCUUAAUGUGUUCACAAUUUAUUCCGUUGUCUCGGGUCGGGUCGCGUCAGAUCAAUAAGCAGCAAGUCAUAAUUUCAUAAUUUUGACUUGGUAUGUCAUAAUAUUGACUUUUUUUAUCUCAUAAUUAUGACUUUUAAAGUCAUAAUUUCAACUUAGUAAGUCAUAGUUUUGAUUUAGUAAGUCAUAAUUUCGACUUUUUAUGUUUUCUUAUGUGGAGGAAAUGGGCUUCCAUACAUGUCAAAUAAGAAAAAUGUAAAAUUAUAAUUUUUUUUUUUUUUUUUUUGUCUUUUAUCAGCAGUUUUUCAGCAUGAGAAUGUCCAAAUAUGAUUUUUUUUUUUUUAUUUCUAAAAAUGUAAAAAGUUUUUAUCAGAUUCUUUUGACUCCUUGCGUUUUUGAGAUCUUUACUUUUGUGUAUGUCAAAAGAAAAUGCCUUAAAGCAAAUAGUGAGUUCUUCAUCAUUUAUUGUCACUGUAAUUAACACAGUUAUUACUGUUUAUUUAGCUCGUAGUAAGGAAUUGUUCCUUUAAAAUGUCAUUAAUUAAGUGCUUUAAGCCAACCUUUGCUAGACAUUAAUUGCAUUCAUAUUCAGUUUUCCUUAAAAUGCUUACAAAUACAUAAAGCACACACACACACACACACACACACACACGCACGUUGGCAUAUGUUGUUUAUGGGAACUCUCCAUAGGCCUAAUGGUUUUUAUACUAUACAAACUGUAUAUUCUAUCCCCUUACAUAUCCUGUAUAUAUAUAUAUAUAUAUAUAUAUAUAUAUAUAUACAUACAUACACACACAUAUAUGGGACACAAAAAAGAAAUAAAGUUUCCUGCUCAUGCUUGCCCAUUUAAUGGCAGAGAAUAGAAUAGUGAUUUUCAUAAAGUACUUUUUUAAGCGGAUGCAAACGUGUCAUAAAAUAAUCCUAUGCAACUCAUUCCAUAUAUUACAAGUGUCCUGAAAGUAUACUGUAGGGUUUGGUGAGAAACAAACAAAUUAUUAAGCGAAAAUCUUGGCAGCCAUCACACCCUGCCAUACCCAUCUGACGCCAUUUCACACGUAAGUGAAUUUAUGCCUACAUAAGAAAGCCUUGUCCCGGUAUGGUUUGUGUAAAGCCAUUUGUUAGUCUGGUUGAUUGAUGAGAAAGAAAUGAAAUGUAAAUACUUUAAAAAUCUGUAGCAGUGAUGGCAACAACUGAUGAUGGCACGGUUUGAUCUUUUGGUUGGCCAAUCAGCGGAAAGGGGCAUUUCAUUGCCACCACAUGCACAUAUUCAAAUAUUUAUCAAAUAAUCAAGCCUUUUAUUAAUUUUGUACCUCUAAAAAUGAAAAAUUGUUUUCUCAUUUUUCUACUUUCAAUAUUAAAUAAAAAAUGAAUGAAUGAUGAACGGAUUCACUGAGACCCCUAUACAUUUUUUUGGGAUGCAUGGAGGGACUACAGUCUACUACAGACCACAGCAGCGAUGGCCGUCUUGGUUUCAGCACUCCCAAGUUCAGUGGGAAAGUUUAACAUAACUACAAAAAAUGCUGUCAUAUGCAGUGCUGCCAACCUGUCCUCACGCCAAAUGUCUAUUUUCUUACGCAGUGAAAAAUACAUUGCAAAGCAUAGAGCACACUAACAACGCAAUGACUAUGAAGACAGAGCAGGUUACUUCUGAUAUGAAAAAGUCUCAGCUUCUAAAUUCUGUCAACUUUACUAUGGAAUUCAAACAAUAAAUGUGGUUUUGUGAAUCUUUAAUUUGGCAUGACAGAUAGCUGUAGUGCCUCAGUUCAAGCGGCACAUGAACUGAUCAUCUCUUCCACUUUACUACUAGUUAUAGAACCAAAUAAACAUGAAUGAACAUCAGAAGGUAUGUUGAAAGAAACAGGACAACUUACUGAAAUAUAUAAUGUCUCAUGUAAUCACUCAAUCAGUGUUUCAACCGCGGAAAGACACCAUUAAAACAGCUUGUAAAUAAUGUCACAACGUUACAUUUGUCUGAGGAUUAUGUCGUUCUGCUCAAGUGCUGUUUUUGUUCCAAAUCAAUCUGUGAACCAAUGAUUCAAUGGCCCAAUCAUAAAUAGAGCCAUUUACUUCAUUCCUAAAUGAAUCAGCCGUUUGAACGAAUCAAAUGAAUGAAUGACUCAAUGACUUACUCAUUUAGACAUUUUGGGUAUAGUUUGCCCAAAAAUAAAAAUUCUGUUUAUUUACAUUUAUUCACCCUCGUGUCGUUUUAAACCUGUAUGACUUUCUUUCUUUUGCGUAACAUAAAAGAAGACAUUUUGAAGAAUGUUGGUAAACAAACUGUUUUGGUCUGUAAAUAUAUCUAAAUACCAAUUCAGAUGCAGCUUCUGAAAAAAAAAAAAAUCAUGGCCCUUGUAGCCUAAAAGUUUAUGUAUAAUAAUUUCUAUGUUGAAUCAAAUAAAAUAUUUCUUUCUAAAGCUACUUUUUGUAAUGUCUAUUUAACGCUUUUCUCAUUUAACACAAUAAUGACUUCAAUUAUCUUUUGGGGGUAAUUUCUCAGCCAAAUUUGAUGUGUAAUUAGUUUGCGAUUAAAUUUUAAUUGCUUGACAGGCCUAAUUUAAUUAUUACUUCAUUGGGUUUUCUGCAUUUGGAUCCUCUCUGUCAUCUCUGAGUCCCUUCUCGUCAGAAAAAUGUUUAUCACAAAAGAAUAAAUGAUUGGCAAGAUUUUAAAAAGGCUGCAUUACCUACAACCACACCCUUUUGUAAAUGCACAACAAUGUGCCCAAUAAAACGAAGCAGCAAACUGGCCAUCCAAUUUGAACUUGAAAUCUUACUCUGCGAAAUUAUAACAUUUUUAUUCAUAAAGUUUACACUUCAGUCAUAGUGAAGUGUAGCCUAAUAGGCAUGUGACAGUAUCAAAUUUUCAUGUUGCGAUUAUUGCUGAAGCUUUAAUCACGGUAUACAGUAUUAUCACGAUAUUGAAUAAGUUGCAAAAAAGUGCUGUCAUGCAGGUUUAAUAAUUUUUUUUUCUUAUAACAAAAGAACUCUAAACAUUUAAAUACAAUAAAGCAAUACAUAAUACACAAAUGUAUAAAGUAAACAAAUGUUUCAAACAGAUUAAAGCGCAAAAGAAUUAUAAAGAACAAUAGGUAACACUUUACAAUAACGUAUCAUUAGUUAACUUAUUUUUUUUUAUGUAAGUACAUAGUAGUUAAGGCCACCUAAUAUAAAGUGGGACCAAAUAAUGUGUUAUUAAAUGCUGAAGUGAACAUAAACUAAAACUAAUAAAUACUUUAGAAGUAUUGUUUAUUGACAGUUUAUGCUAACUAAUGAAUUAACUAAUCUUCACUAAUGGAGCCUUAUUGUAAAGUGUUACCGAACAAUAAUAAAGAAUCAGAACCUUUUCAAUCAAUAUCUAGGGCAUGUUGUAGACCAGAUUAAAAUGUAAAAAUGUUUAAGUUUGAAAAUAAAUGGACUAUUAAGUAUCUAAUAUUUAAGUAUUUGGUGCUACGAUGAACACCAGUGUGAAUACAAAAAUCUGAAUAGCUGUUUAAAACACUUAAACACUGUUUAGAAAAAGAAAGUGCAGCUGCUUUGUUUACAGGGUUACUGGGAUAGCGGAUGCAUUUCUGCUGUUUCAUAAGCACCAUCUGCUGUCAGAGAGUGAAUGUGCAUUUUCAUUCAGUGCAUCUCCUUCACUUAUUCCACCAUGUGCUUCUCAUCCAUGUUGGGUUUGUUUACAUCAGAGUGCGCAUGGCUCAUUGACACAGCAUACAGCGGUGUUGUGCAUUUUAACCGGGUGAUGGGAAAAGUAUCCUUAAAAUGAAUUCUAAAAAUCUGAAUAAUUAUAAUAAAUAAUUAUUCACUGUAUUAAGUGCCCACGAUAACAAUAUUGUGCAUGUUCGUUAUCAUGAUAUAUCAUAUUACCGUAUAUCAGCACAUGUCUACAGCCUAACAAGUAUUUUUUGUAUUAUUUGGGAGAAUUCAUUACUCAUUUUGAAGUCAUUAUUCAUGCCUUUCCAAAUAAGAUAUUUGUCUUCGGGUCUGUCUCUACUUAAUAUAGCAUUUGCCAUUAGCUUUGCAACGUGCUAACGCAAACUCUAUUGAAAUCAAUAGUCAAGUCUCCAAUGUUCUGUGACGUGUGUGCCAUGUGGUAUUUUCUGCCUUUGUAGAGUGUUCCAAAUUAGCCACUUACGAAGUUCCAUUUCAGUCAAGAUGUUGCCUUAGAAGGUAGCAACAAGAUAACUCACUAGGAUUCAGUAUAUUUUCUCACUAGGAUUAAGUG